AUAGUACUCUCUUCUUCCCAAAAUUCUUGUCUUAGAUUUGUCUAAAUACGGAUGUAUCAAGUAAUAUUAGAUACAUCCGUAUUUAGACAAAUCUAAGACAAGAAUUUUGGGACGGAGGGUACAAC
rfam:Triticum aestivum genome assembly, contig: Triticum_aestivum_CS42_TGACv1_scaffold_129310_2BL